rnacentral:lncRNA from 1 species
AAUUCCUCACAGCAACAAAGGAAAGAAGAACUACUGAAUAGUCACAAUAUCCCGAAGGAUCGAGCAGACCAGAUUUGCCUAAAUCUGGAGGGAAGAAGCCUAAAUCUGGAGAGCAGAAGCAAUAGGUCCGGCCAGACUUAGAAUUUCAAAUGGUCGUCUGCCCUUCACCGCCUUGACAGUAAGGGGGCAUGAAUCAGUAAGCCAAAAGUGGCUCAGGCCAUGCUCCGGACCCUCUGGAAAAAAACAGAAAAAAGGUUUGUAUUGUCAUCAGGAACAAGAGUGGUAUGUUAUUCACAUAUAAAAUAAAUUCUGAACUGAAAGAUCUAAAAGAAUGCUUGAAACAAGUGUGCCUCCUCAACAUUCUUUGUGCAAGGUAAGCAUCUGAUACAAUGAGGAAGUAGGAAAAAUUAUAUUUUCAAAAGCAAAGUUAACACGAAGUGGAUGGAACCCUGCUGGCGAAUCAGAGACAUUUUGGAAACAAAUAAGGGCUAGUUUGGGAACCUAUUUUUCCAAGGGAUUUUCAUUUUCCCAAGAGAAAUUAGUUCGUUUUCCUUUAAAAAUAGGAAUCCCUUAGUAAAAUGGAGUUCCCAGACUAGCCCUAAAAGGAAUAUUUUGUGGUGCUUUUUAUCAACUGUCUCUAGUAGUCUCUACCUCAUACAGUAUUAGACUACUGAAAUUUUUAUUCUGUCUGCUUCUGCAUCCUCAAAAUGUUAGGGCGAAAGGACAAUCAUGAUAAGGGUUUAGGGGGCACAAG